rnacentral:rRNA from 1 species
AAUAGCUUUAGGGCUAGCCUCGAUUUAGUCUUAUGGAGGUAGAGCACUGAAUUUCCGCGGGGGCGUCAAAGCUUACCAAAGAAUAUCAAACUCCGAAUGCCAUGUAGAUGAUGAUCGGGAGUCAGACUGCACGAGAUAAGUUGGGCAGUCAAAAGGGAAAGAGCCCAGACCACCGGCUAAGGUCCCAAAGUGCGUGUUAAGUGGAAAAGGAUGUGGGAAUUCGAAGACAACUAGGAUGUUGGCUCAGAAGCAGCCAUACAUUCAAAGAGUGCGUAACAGCUCACUAGUCGAGAGUUCCUGCGCCGAAAAUGUCCGGGGCUAAAACACGACACCGAAGCCGUGGACUCGCAAUGCGAGUGGUAGAGGAGCAUUCUUAAAACCGACGAAGCUGUACCGGAAGGAGCAGUGGAGGGAUAAGAAGAGAGAAUGCCGGAAUGAGUAGCGAGAGAAAGGUGAGAAUCCUUUCGGCCGAAUAUCUAAGGUUUCCAGAGUAAAGCUGAUCUGCUCUGGGUAAGUCGGGGCCUAAGCACAGGUCGCAAGACGUAAGCGAUGGAUAACAGGUUUAGAUUCCUGUACCACGCAUUAUCAGAACUGUAGGGACGCAUGUGGAAAGCACGAGCCGGGAAUGGAAAGACCGGUACAAGCGGGGUAGGAGUACAAUAGGCAAAUCCGUUGUAUGAUCCGAAGACGUGAUGUGGAGCGAAAUAAAGUAGCAAAGCGUGUGAGCCAUGUGCCGAGAAAAGCUGCUAUUGUGUAAUGCGUGCCCGUACCGUAAACCGACACAGGUGGAUGAGGAGAGAAUCCUAAGGCCGACGGAAGAAGCAUUGUUAAGGAAUUCGGCAAAAUGACCCCGUAACUUCGGGAGAAGGGGUGCCUGCGAGAGCAGGCCGCAGAGAAUAGGCUCAAGCAACUGUUUAGCAAAAACACAGGUCUAUGCGAAACCGAAAGGUGAGGUAUAUGGGCUGACGCCUGCCCGGUGCUGGAAGGUUAAGAGGAGAGGUUAGCGCAAGCGAAGCUUUGAAUUUAAGCCCCAGUAAACGGCGGCCGUAACUAUAACGGUCCUAAGGUAGCGAAAUUCCUUGUCGGGUAAGUUCCGACCCGCACGAAAGGCGUAAUGAUUUGAGCGCUGUCUCGACAAUGCAUCCGGUGAAAUUGAAGUACCAGUGAAGAUGCUGGUUACCCGCGCCAGGACGGAAAGACCCCAUGGAGCUUUACUCCAGUUUGAUACUGGGAUUCGGUACUGCAUGUACAGGAUAGGUGGGAGACGAAGAAGGAUGGACGCCAGUCUGUCCGGAGUCGCUGUUGGGAUACCACCCCUGUAGUACUGGGUUUCUAACCAGUUACCAUGAUCUGGUAAUGGGACAAUGUCAGGCGGGGAGUUUGACUGGGGCGGUCGCCUCCGAAAGGGUAUCGGAGGCGCUCAAAGGUUCCCUCAGAAUGGUUGGAAACCAUUUGAAGAGUGCAAAGGCAGAAGGGAGCUUGACUGCGACACCGACGGGUGGAGCAGGUACGAAAGUAGGACUUAGUGAUCCGGUGGUAUAAAGUGGGAUUGCCAUCGCUCAACGGAUAAAAGCUACCCUGGGGAUAACAGGCUUAUCACUCCCAAGAGUUCACAUCGACGGAGUGGUUUGGCACCUCGAUGUCGGCUCAUCGCAUCCUGGGGCUGUAGUAGGUCCCAAGGGUUGGGCUGUUCGCCCAUUAAAGCGGUACGCGAGCUGGGUUCAGAACGUCGUGAGACAGUUCGGUCCCUAUCCGGCGCGGGCGGAGGAUAUUUGAGAGGAGCUGUCCUUAGUACGAGAGGACCGGGAUGGACGGACCACUGGUGUAUCUGUUGUCGACCAACGGCAUGGCAGAGUAGCCAAGUCUGGAAGGGAUAAACGCUGAAGGCAUCUAAGCGUGAAGCCCCCCUCAAGAUGAGAUAUCCCUCCUUCGGGAGUAAGACCCCUUGA